rnacentral:rRNA from 1 species
AUGAACGCUGGCGGCGUGCCUAACACAUGCAAGUCGAGCGAAGCGCUUAAAUUAGAUUUCUUCGGAAUGACGAUUUUUGUGACUGAGCGGCGGACGGGUGAGUAACGCGUGGGUAACCUGCCUCAUACAGGGGGAUAACAGUUAGAAAUGACUGCUAAUACCGCAUAAGACCCCAGCUUCGCAUGAAGCGGUGGUAAAAACUCCGGUGGUAUGAGAUGGACCCGCGUCUGAUUAGCUAGUUGGUAAGGUAACGGCUUACCAAGGCGACGAUCAGUAGCCGACCUGAGAGGGUGACCGGCCACAUUGGGACUGAGACACGGCCCAGACUCCUACGGGAGGCAGCAGUGGGGAAUAUUGCACAAUGGGGGAAACCCUGAUGCAGCGACGCCGCGUGAAGGAUGAAGUAUUUCGGUAUGUAAACUUCUAUCAGCAGGGAAGAAAGUGACGGUACCUGACUAAGAAGCCCCGGCUAACUACGUG